rnacentral:sRNA from 1 species
GAAUGGACCAGUGCAGAUGCACAGUCCUUAAAAUGGGAAGAGGAGGAGCCUGAGGAGUCUGUGAUAACUGACGAGGUCAGAGAACUGCAUCGGGAAGGUCUGAGCUAGGACUGAAAACGGAAUGUGUCAUAAACUAAGAAGUCAAGUGUCCUCUGAGCCAAGUCAGAAGUGGAUUGGGCUGAAUGUCCCCCAGAAGGCAUGAAGCCUAGUCAUGACUUUAGCUGGUGACAUCUGUCUCAGAGCCUGUACUCCAGAAAGUAAGCAAAAAUCUCUACACAGCCAUGAAAUGCCAUCUGCUCGAAACCACACAGACCAGCACACCAUGUUUCUCUGAGGUAGGAUGCAUCAUGGGUACAUUUUCUGUCUUAUGCACUUUUGUUCUUUUCGAUUUAUCUAGAAUUUAAUGCUAAACACUAUUUUGGGGGCUAAUGAAGUGGUCAACUUGAAAAGACAGUUGCCAACACAUUUAACAACCUGAGUUCAAUCCCUUGGACCCAUGUGGUAGAAGGCAAGAACAAACUCUGUCUGCUGUCCUCUGAUGGAUCCAUGCAAGCUGUGGCAGCAGUUAGAAAGUGGACAAAUAAAUCUGGGAACCGAACCCAGGGCCUUGCACUUCCUAGGUAAGCGUUCUACCACUGAGCUAAAUCCCCAGCCCCAAGCCAUUGCUCUUGAAUGCGUAUUAUUUAUGAAUGUGCUCCUGAAAUCCGUCCCUAAAACAAAGUGGCAGACAAACUGCUGCAGUAUCAAAUCAGAACAAACUGCAGUAGCUCAGAAGGGAGAGUGAAGGUCAUUUGGAGUGGCACUGUGAACAUCGAUUGUGGUUUACACAUGAGUGAAAAUGAAGUCUCAGCCUUCCUGCUCUCGGCUCCUCCUGUGGGUCAGAGGGCUGGGCUCAGAAGUCAUGGUUCCGGUCCCCAUUACAGCGAGAUACUCAACUGCCAAAUUCAAGGCUGGCCACAGAGAGAAGGUGCGGAUAUAACGAUGUGUUGAGGCAUCUGGACACCAUUGCUGGGCAAAGUACUACUGACCCUGAAGAGUGUGCUGUUGUCUCCAGAGGCCUCUAAUGUGCCUCAGAGCUUCACACACAGCACAGGCAGCGGGGACUUGAGGGAGAUGAUGCCCUUUCCCCAUUAUAAAACAAACAAAGUCUCCUUCCUACAAUCCAGGCUGGGCUCCAAUUCACUGUGUAACCAAGCAUGACCUUGAACUCCUGAUCCUCCUGCCUCCACUUCCAGUGGAUCACAGGUGUACAUCACCAUGUCUAGUUUAGUGGUGAUCAGGAUCAAACCCUGGACUUCAGGCAUGCCUGCUAGGCUAGCACUCUACUCAUGAAUUAUACUUUUGUUUACACCCUCCAUUGAUUUAUUAAAUUACUUAUGUGAA